AUUGAACGCUGGCGGCAGGCCUAACACAUGCAAGUCGAGCGGAUGAAGGGAGCUUGCUCCUGGAUUCAGCGGCGGACGGGUGAGUAAUGCCUAGGAAUCUGCCUGGUAGUGGGGGAUAACGUCCGGAAACGGGCGCUAAUACCGCAUACGUCCUGCGGGAGAAAGUGGGGGAUCUUCGGACCUCACGCUAUCAGAUGAGCCUAGGUCGGAUUAGCUAGUUGGUGGGGUAAAGGCCUACCAAGGCGACGAUCCGUAACUGGUCUGAGAGGAUGAGCAGUCACACUGAAACUGAGACACGGUCCAGCCUCCGACGGGAGGCAGCAGUGGGGAAGAUUGGACAAUGGGCGAAAGCCUGAUCCAGCCAUGCCGCGUGUGUGAAGAAGGUCUUCGGAUUGUAAAGCACUUUACGUUGGGAGGAAGGGCAGUAAGUUAAUACCUUGCUGUUUUGACGUUACCAACAGAAUAAGCACCGGCUAACUUCGU
rnacentral:rRNA from 1 species